ensembl:lncRNA
UACAUAUUCAACACAGGAAAUUGAGGUUAGUCCUAUUUUGCCCUGCUCUUUGAAUUAUAACUGGAGAUGCAGGGUGGAAAGGUGGAGGAAGAAGAGAUAAAGUGUUUAUCAGGGAAGAGAUAGAGGGAAACAAGACAUUCCUACAUUUUCUUCAGAAAGUGACUGAGAAGCUGUGUCUAAAAAGUGUUUUGACAAUGUGGGGGGAAGGAAAAUGGGCAUCCUUCUAAACGAGGCCCAUAGAAUCAUCAUCGUUUUUGAGGGGGAAGAGCUGAGGUAGAGCUGCACUGUAAUAUCUCUGAUAUAUAAAGAUGCUGGAAGCCAAAUUUCCCCACUAAACAACCUUACAUGAUUCAGUAACAAUCUGCUGCAGGAAUCACUGACAUGGAUGACUGUUCUUUGACUUUUAACCUCCAGGUAACAGAGAUUAAGUGCUACUUGAAUGGAGUCAAUAAACUCUAACAUGGAGAUUUUAAUAACGACGCUAUAUUACAUCACAAAGAGAAUGAAGUUUACAAUAGAAAGCUACUGCUUCUUUUCUCCCUAUUUUACACACUGCAUUUGCUUCUGAAAGAAUUUAAUUUAUUCAAGUGCAAUUUUCACAGUAUUCAUAUUUGUGUGUUUUGUGUUCACAUAUACAAUGAAAGAUCAAUAAAUACUCAUGAAGCAAAAUGGUAACUACCAAACCCAUUUAAAUUUCUCUCUUCUAAGUAGAAGCCAAAAAUUUUACUAAGACUAGAUGGCAAUUAAUGUUCACAUUUUCUGUGAGGAAAAUAUAAAAACCAUAGCUGAUAAAUAAGUCAUUUAAGUAUGUUGUUCGCAGUGGCGCUCUGGAAGGAUUCACUAUACAGGGGGGAGUGAAUUUACCUUUUCAGACUGAUUAGUCCUUUCCUUUCAGAUGAAAAAUAUAGACAAAUACUUUUCCUCAUAUUUUGUGGGCUGAAAUCAGCACAGUUCACUCUGAAUUGAUACAGUUUCCUUAUAUUAUACAGGCCAGGACAGCCUUCAGGAACCACUCACAUGCAAGAUGAGUUCCACUGUUUACUGUUUCCACAUAUUACUGAUGGAAGACCAGGGACUGAGGGCUGCUGAGAAAACUCCACUUGACUGACUGAUUGAUUAGGUGGCCUGCACUGGAAAUCCCCCUCAGCUUCCAUGGAUGAGAUGAGGAUGCAAUUGCAUUAAGUGAGCAGCAAUUCCUAGAGAUCACUCUGCUGUAGGGAGAAGAAAAGCCUUGUAAGCUGAAUGUGCAAAUGUGCUGUUCACUACCUCUAUUUAAUGAAAACUCACGCUACCUUUGGUAUAAUUAUCUGUCACAAACUGAAUGUUCUUUAAGCAGCACCAAACAAAAAGCUGCUCUUUCUGCAUGGGAGAAAAGAACAAAACAAAACAAACAAACAAACAAAACAAAACAAAACAAACAAACAAAAAAAAAACAUCACCGAUUAGCUCAGAUGACCUGGGAAGCCUGAGGGAAAAGGUAGCAAGACAUAAAUCAAUAGAGUAAACUAAGUGGAAUAAGGCUAUGAAACAAGCACUCGUUUCUGACUGUAAUCCAGAAUAGCACCAAUGCUGUGUCAGAAGAAAUGUAAUCUCUUUUUUCUUCUUCUUAAGUGGAAAGAAGAAGAAUGCUUUUUUAGAACUUGAAUAUUUUGUAAUAGUGACUUCUAAGCAACAACCUCAAAUUAUAGGUUUAUGUGUAAG